rnacentral:misc_RNA from 1 species
AAGUCGUAACAAGGUUUCCGUAGGUGAACCUGCGGAAGGAUCAUUAACACGUAUCCAACGUUAAACCCCCCUGUGAACUUUUAUACUUGCUCUCUUAACUGAUGGAAUUGCAAUCCCUGGUAAAUCAUUGUUAAACAGAUUUUGAUUCAGGGACCUCAGUUUGGCAGUUAGGAUUGAGCGAUCGUUGCAAGUGGCCUGGUUUCCCCAAGCAGUCAGUGUCUGAAAGUGGCAUUGAUUGUGUAAGGAUAACGCUUUUCGAUCACUAGAGGCCGACACCGGCCGGUGACCAGGUCGCCGUGGCUUCGGCCCCCUAUAUUCCGCCUCGUAGGAAACUGCUGGGCAACAAAACGAACAACUGUUAACAAUGGAUAUCUUGGUUCUC